GCACUGACGAGGAGUUCCACAAUAGGACGAAAUGGCCGUCCAGUGU
rnacentral:hammerhead_ribozyme from 1 species